rnacentral:lncRNA from 1 species
AUACAAUGAAUAUGUACUUUAUAAAUUGAUUUAUAAAUUUAUCUCUAAGUAUGUUGCAGGAACAUCCAAAUACAGCAUGACAACCGAUGUGAAAUAGGAUUCAAAAGGACAGACCUCAAAAAGAGGCCUUGCUGUGUCAGAGGGAGAGGCAAGCAGCCCCUUCUGGGUGGAGGCAUCAGCCACCACUGGGUUAGAAGACUUUUAAUGCAAUCAGUGCUUAAGACAGAACAAGAAGAUAACAAUGAUAGAGAAGCAACUAGAAUGAAAUCAUGAUCCUGUAAGUAAUUCAUGGGAAUAUGUGAUUGAUAAGCAUUCUGAAAAUGAACAGAACAUAACAAAGGAGAGUCAAAGUUGAAAAACUUGGAGGACUUGUUUUCUGCUUGUCACUACCAGGUGUGCUUUAUAAUGGUUUAAUAUAGAAUUGAUAUUAAUGGUAAUAUUAAUUUUAAUUAAAGUACUCCUUUCAAAUUCCACUUCAUUAAGCUAAAAGAUGUGAUUAUUUUCUCACUAUGUUGGGGGAGUUAGCUUAGCUCACUUCAAUUUCUAACUGGAAAAAUUUGGGCACUUGGUAAAAAAAAUUCCUUCACAUUUUAGAUAUAACAGAAGUGGACCAAAAGGAAUUUUAACAGUUUCACAUCUACAGAAAACAUUUCACCAUUUUGUAUUUCUCUUACUCAAAGGAACUCUUCAUCAUGGGCUGAAAUGAAAGGCAAAACUCAUAUUUGAGCUCCAUGCUCACAAAACAAGCC